rnacentral:rRNA from 1 species
ACGUACACUCCUGCGGGAGGCAGCAGUGGGGAAUAUUGGACAAUGGGCGCAAGCCUGAUCCAGCCAUGCCGCGUGAGUGAUGAAGGCCCUAGGGUUGUAAAGCUCUUUCACCGGUGAAGAUAAUGACGGUAACCGGAGAAGAAGCCCCGGCUAACUUCGUGCCAGCAGCCGCGGUAAUACGAAGGGGGCUAGCGUUGUUCGGAUUUACUGGGCGUAAAGCGCACGUAGGCGGACUAUUAAGUCAGGGUUGAAAUCCCGGGGCUCAACCCCGGAACUGCCUUUGAUACUGGUAGUCUUGAGUUCGAGAGAGGUGAGUGGAAUUCCGAGUGUAGAGGUGAAAUUCGUAGAUAUUCGGAGGAACACCAGUGGCGAAGGCGGCUCACUGGCUCGAUACUGACGCUGAGGUGCGAAAGCGUGGGGAGCAAACAGGAUUAGAAACCCUGGUAGUCCCAUGAU